UGUCGUAAAAUCUGAUCAGAAGGUCGAGCUCAAGUGUGAAGUACGAACGUUAUAGGCACUGUUUUAAAAUUUCUCUGAUGUUUGGUAAUUAUUAAGCAAGAAACCUUUUACGGAAUUUAACAUGAGUUCAGAACGGCAAUUCCUCUUCUUGAUUCGUAAUUUGUCAACUGGAGUUUAUAAUCGUCAUUGAACAGUUAUCUGCAAUACAGUUCUAAUCAAUCUAGCAUUAUAUUAUAUUAUCAUUAUCCGUUAACGGUGACCACUAUAAAAUGGCUUUAUAUAAAGUGGUUAUUUUUGUUCUAACCAAUCAAAUACUAUCUCUGAGAGCAAACAGUCAGCACAUGGAUGGAGCAUCUGUGAACGAAAAUCUACACGUGUUUGAAGACAUCGCGGAUGAUACUACAUACACCCAUUGGUUAGAUUCAAUGACAUGGAAGAAAGGUGCAGUACGUGGGCAUAUGGUGGGACCUAAGACACCAAACUACUGCUCCAUGUGUACAUGCUCACAAUGUAAUGAGCGUCUGUACGUGGAUUGCGCUGAUAAAGGUCUCAAAAGUGCGUUCGAUGAUAUUAGUCGAAAAUUUUUUUACCUUGAUUACACAAAGAAUGAUAUUUUAAAUGUGAUUUUGGGCAAUUUUCGUGGCUUGACACUAUUGAAAUUCCUGAAGCUGUCUUAUAAUAAAAUACGGGAAAUAGCCAAAAAUGCAUUUAGGGACCUUACAAAUCUUACAGAUUUAUAUAUUGACAACAACCAUAUGGAUUCGUUGCAAACAGGUAUUCCGGAAGGAACAUUAGAUUAUUUGAUAAAUCUUCGUCUGCUUGUCAUGCAUGGAAAUGUGUAUAUAUGCGAUGCUUCAAUGCUAAACGGGCGGACAUUCCAGCGAUUGAACAAUUUAAAGUUUCUUGUCAUCGACGGAUUCAGGAAGAUGAAAUUUGAUGAUCAUUUUCUUAAUACGCGUUUGUCCACCUUAAUACUAGUAGGGCCACCUUAUGGAUGUGCAUUAAACGUUGUAGAUAAUGAUACAUUUGAUGGCUUGCUGCAUCUUCAAAAUCUCUCCAUGAGGGAUUGUAACAUAUCAUCCAUUUCGCCGAAAGCUCUUGCACGUCUGAAAUCAUAGCGAUACCUGGAUAUUUCAAAUCCGAUCUUUUAAUUUCUUUCAUCUGAUGAUGUGCGACUUAUAUUUUCUCUCUGAUAGGCGUUUCUUUUUUUAUUUAAUUAUUAUUCAUUUAAUUUUUAGCAGUCACAUAAACAACCAAGCAAUGUAAUUUGGAAUUUUUACACCCAUUAUUGCUGCUUCUUCCUGCAUUUGCGCGAUGAUUAUCUGAAAUAUUAACUCAAUGACGCAAUAUUUUUAAAUCUUUUUCUUUAAAGAAGGAAUGUAGUUGACACUUGUUUGUAGUUUUAUUUUAUCGUUCGUCAAAAUGUUGUAACUCUGUUGCUCUGGUAUCUUCAAUACCAUUGAGUAAUUAAAUUGUAAUUAAAUUGAA